CCUGAGAGCAAGACCAACUAUCCUGCUGCAUCCUUGGGUAAUCUUGAAGCCUGGGUCCACGAUCUUAUCCAGCAUGUAGAAAGUUUCAUAUCCCGUGUGGUAAUAGGGAAAGAAAACGUCGUAUUUCCGCUGCGUGGGCUCCACGCUGCCCUUGACGGUGCUUAUGACAUUGAAAGAUCUCUGACGCUUGAUGUAGUUGUGUGUGACGAGGCGCAGCUUGUAGUCACCAAUCAACUCAGGUCCAAGGUUGUACGCCACGUUCUUCAGUCCGCCCCGCCACCCCUCAGGCGCCACCCUCCCACCCAUCUUUCUGUACGCCGAGACUCCUGAAACGCUGACGGAGGAGGAAGAGGAGGACGUGACGAGGCGGGAACACACCUACAUGACCACCUCCAUGGCAGCCCCCCCAACUCCCCCAACCCUCAACUACAAGGUGCUGUACUAAGCAGUGACAAUGAACAAUGAACAGUGACAGGACUUAAGAGCAUGUACAGCAGUGUCACCAUGCCCCUUCGUCCUCAGAUGGUGAAAUUACAACAUCUACGUGAAGCUACAGAGACUUGCAUGGCUACCUGGAACGAGGACUUGCCUACUCGCCUGCAUCCAUGGUUCAAGCCCCGCCUUCGUGUCCUGCCGGGUUCUCAGGGGAAGUGACUGGAGCCUACUAGAUCCAAUGAUUCCUGAAGCACCACUCUGCACAUCCCCCACUGAAACACGCGUGCGAAAAGCUGACCUACGUGACACCGAAUGGCAAACACACAGAGACUCACGUGGCACCCAAACAGACCAU